CUACGGGUCGCUCCAGUGAGGAAUAUUGGGCAAUGGGCGCAAGCCUGACCCAGCCAUGCCGCGUGAAGGAUGAAUGCCCUACGGGUUGUAAACUUCUUUUGUACGGGACGAAACUUCCGAUCGUGAUCGGAACUGACUGUACCGUUCGAAUAAGCAUCGGCUAACUCCGUGCCAGCAGCCGCGGUAAUACGGAGGAUGCAAGCGUUAUCCGGAUUCAUUGGGUUUAAAGGGUGCGUAGGCGGAAUAGGAAGUCAGUGGUGAAAGCCUGCGGCUUAACCGUAGAAUUGCCAUUGAUACUGUUAUUCUUGAGUAUAGUUGAGGUGGGCGGAAUGUGUAAUGUAGCGGUGAAAUGCUUAGAUAUUACACAGAACACCAAUUGCGAAGGCAGCUCACUAAACUAUCACUGACGCUGAGGCACGAAAGCGUGGGGAGCAAACAGGAUUAGAUACCCCUGUAGUC
rnacentral:rRNA from 1 species